rnacentral:rRNA from 1 species
GCUCAGAUUGAACGCUGGCGGCAGGCUUAACACAUGCAAGUCGAACGAAGUGUUGGUGCUUGCACUAACACUUAGUGGCGAACGGGUGAGUAAUACUUGGGAAUCUGCCUUGUAGCGGGGGAUAACGUUUCGAAAGGAACGCUAAUACCGCAUACGUCCUACGGGAGAAAGGAGGGGAUCUUCGGACCUUCCACUAUAAGAUGAGCCCAAGCGAGAUUAGCUAGUUGGUAAGGUAAAGGCUUACCAAGGCGACGAUCUCUAGCUGGUCUGAGAGGAUGAUCAGCCACACUGGGACUGAGACACGGCCCAGACUCCUACGGGAGGCAGCAGUGGGGAAUAUUGGACAAUGGGCGAAAGCCUGAUCCAGCCAUGCCGCGUGUGUGAAGAAGGCCUUCGGGUUGUAAAGCACUUUAAGCGAGGAGGAAUGGCUUCUGGGUUAAUACCCUUGAGCAGUGGACGUUACUCGCAGAAUAAGCACCG